rnacentral:rRNA from 1 species
AGUGAACGCUGGCGGUAGGCCUAACACAUGCAAGUCGAACGGCAGCACAGGAGAGCUUGCUCUCUGGGUGGCGAGUGGCGGACGGGUGAGGAAUACAUCGGAAUCUACUUUUUCGUGGGGGAUAACGUAGGGAAACUUACGCUAAUACCGCAUACGACCUACGGGUGAAAGCAGGGGACCUGCGGGCCUUGCGCGAUUGAAUGAGCCGAUGUCGGAUUAGAUAGUUGGCGGGGUAAAGGCCCACCAAGGCGACGAUCCGUAGCUGGUCUGAGAGGAGGAUCAGCCACACUGGAACUGAGACACGGUCCAGACUCCUACGGGAGGCAGCAGUGGGGAAUAUUGGACAAUGGGCGCAAGCCUGAUCCAGCCAUACCGCGUGGGUGAAGAAGGCCUUCGGGUUGUAAAGCCCUUUUGUUGUGAAAGAAAUCCAGCUGGCUAAUACCCGGUUGGGAUGACGGUACCCAAAGAAUAAGCACCGGCUAACUUCGUGCCAGCCGCCGCCGUAA